rnacentral:rRNA from 1 species
GAUGAACGCUGGCGGCGUGCCUAAUACAUGCAAGUCGAGCGAACGGACGAGAAGCCUGCUUUUCUGAUGUUAGCGGCGGACGGGUGAGUAACACGUGGAUAACCUACCUAUAAGACUGGGAUAACUUCGGGAAACCGGAGCUAAUACCGGAUAAUAUUUUGAACCGCAUGGUUCAAAAGUGAAAGACGGUCUUGCUGUCACUUAUAGAUGGAUCCGCGCUGCAUUAGCUAGUUGGUAAGGUAACGGCUUACCAAGGCAACGAUGCAUAGCCGACCUGAGAGGGUGAUCGGCCACACUGGAACUGAGACACGGUCCAGACUCCUACGGGAGGCAGCAGUAGGGAAUCUUCCGCAAUGGGCGAAAGCCUGACGGAGCAACGCCGCGUGAGUGAUGAAGGUCUUCGGAUCGUAAAACUCUGUUAUUAGGGAAGAACAUAUGUGUAAGUAACAGUGCACAUCUUGACGGUACCUAAUCAGAAAGCCAUGGCUAACUACGUG